CGGCAGCGACACUGUGUGUUCGUUGGGUAGGGGAGCGUUCUGUAAGCCUGUGAAGGUGUGUCGUGAGGCAUGCUGGAGGUAUCAGAAGUGCGAAUGCUGACAUAAGUAACGAUAAAGCGGGUGAAAAGCCCGCUCGCCGGAAGACCAAGGGUUCCUGUCCAACGUUAAUCGGGGCAGGGUGAGUCGACCCCUAAGGCGAGGCCGAAAGGCGUAGUCGAUGGGAAACGGGUUAAUAUUCCCGUACUUGGUGUUACUGCGAAGGGGGGACGGAGAAGGCUAUGUUGGCCGGGCGACGGUUGUCCCGGUUUAAGCGUGUAGGUGUGUGUUCCAGGUAAAUCCGGUUCACUUUAACACUGAGGCGUGACGACGAGGCACUACGGUGCUGAAGCAACAAAUGCCCUGCUUCCAGGAAAAGCCUCUAAGCAUCAGGUAACAUCAAAUCGUACCCCAAACCGACACAGGUGGUCAGGUAGAGAAUACCAAGGCGCUUGAGAGAACUCGGGUGAAGGAACUAGGCAAAAUGGUGCCGUAACUUCGGGAGAAGGCACGCUGACACGUAGGUGAAGUGAUUUACUCAUGGAGCUGAAGUCAGUCGAAGAUACCAGCUGGCUGCAACUGUUUAUUAAAAACACAGCACUGUGCAAACACGAAAGUGGACGUAUACGGUGUGACGCCUGCCCGGUGCCGGAAGGUUAAUUGAUGGGGUCAGCGCAAGCGAAGCUCCUGAUCGAAGCCCCGGUAAACGGCGGCCGUAACUAUAACGGUCCUAAGGUAGCGAAAUUCCUUGUCGGGUAAGUUCCGACCUGCACGAAUGGCGUAAUGAUGGCCAGGCUGUCUCCACCCGAGACUCAGUGAAAUUGAACUCGCUGUGAAGAUGCAGUGUACCCGCGGCAAGACGGAAAGACCCCGUGAACCUUUACUAUAGCUUGACACUGAACAUUGAGCCUUGAUGUGUAGGAUAGGUGGGAGGCUUUGAAGCGUGGACGCCAGUCUGCAUGGAGCCGACCUUGAAAUACCACCCUUUAAUGUUUGAUGUUCUAACGUGGACCCGUGAUCCGGGUUGCGGACAGUGUCUGGUGGGUAGUUUGACUGGGGCGGUCUCCUCCUAAAGAGUAACGGAGGAGCACGAAGGUUGGCUAAUCCUGGUCGGACAUCAGGAGGUUAGUGCAAUGGCAUAAGCCAGCUUGACUGCGAGCGUGACGGCGCGAGCAGGUGCGAAAGCAGGUCAUAGUGAUCCGGUGGUUCUGAAUGGAAGGGCCAUCGCUCAACGGAUAAAAGGUACUCCGGGGAUAACAGGCUGAUACCGCCCAAGAGUUCAUAUCGACGGCGGUGUUUGGCACCUCGAUGUCGGCUCAUCACAUCCUGGGGCUGAAGUAGGUCCCAAGGGUAUGGCUGUUCGCCAUUUAAAGUGGUACGCGAGCUGGGUUUAGAACGUCGUGAGACAGUUCGGUCCCUAUCUGCCGUGGGCGCUGGAGAACUGAGGGGGGCUGCUCCUAGUACGAGAGGACCGGAGUGGACGCAUCACUGGUGUUCGGGUUGUCAUGCCAAUGGCACUGCCCGGUAGCUAAAUGCGGAAGAGAUAAGUGCUGAAAGCAUCUAAGCACGAAACUUGCCCCGAGAUGAGUUCUCCCUGAGACUUAGAGUCUCCUGAAGGAACGUUGAAGACGACGACGUUGAUAGGCCGGGUGUGUAAGCGCAGCGAUGCGUUGAGCUAACCGGUACUAAUGAACCGUGAGGCUUAACCUUACAACGCCGAAG
rnacentral:rRNA from 1 species